GUGCACGUACAAGCGUUGCUUUACGAAAGUUAACCCCAAACACUGUUUAAAUAGCUUCAACAAACGGCUCAACUUGUGCUACAUCUUGGCAAUGAUCACAACCGUAACUCACGUUUGGCGAAGCGAAUCAAAUGUUUUUUGCUGCAAAAUCUCGACCGACAAACAGCGUUUUCGGCCUGUGGAAUGUUUAAUAUCGAUUACGCGAUGCUACAUAUGGUGUUUAGCUCCAUCUUUACGUACAUGGUCAUCUUGAUACAGUUUGACCAAUUGCAACCGGAACAACUUUCAUACACAACCGUUGCUAAUCGCUCUGAAACGUUCCAUUAAUGGGAGGAAUGGUCGGGAAACAUGUAUAUGCAUAAUUAAUAAUCGAGAUAAUAAAUGUUUUAAUGUGCAGCAAAACUAAA